rnacentral:rRNA from 1 species
AUUGAACGCUGGCGGCAGGCCUAACACAUGCAAGUCGAACGGUAACAGGAAGCAGCUUGCUGCUUUGCUGACGAGUGGCGGACGGGUGAGUAAUGUCUGGGAAACUGCCUGAUGGAGGGGGAUAACUACUGGAAACGGUAGCUAAUACCGCAUAACGUCGCAAGACCAAAGAGGGGGACCUUCGGGCCUCUUGCCAUCGGAUGUGCCCAGAUGGGAUUAGCUAGUAGGUGGGGUAAAGGCUCACCUAGGCGACGAUCCCUAGCUGGUCUGAGAGGAUGACCAGCCACACUGGAACUGAGACACGGUCCAGACUCCUACGGGAGGCAGCAGUGGGGAAUAUUGCACAAUGGGCGCAAGCCUGAUGCAGCCAUGCCGCGUGUAUGAAGAAGGCCUUCGGGUUGUAAAGUACUUUCAGCGGGGAGGAAGGGAGUAAAGUUAAUACCUUUGCUCAUUGACGUUACCCGCAGAAGAAGCACCGGCUAACUCCGUGCCAGCAGCCGCGGUAAUACGGAGGGUGCAAGCGUUAAUCGGAAUUACUGGGCGUAAAGCGCACGCAGGCGGUUUGUUAAGUCAGAUGUGAAAUCCCCGGGCUCAACCUGGGAACUGCAUCUGAUACUGGCAAGCUUGAGUCUCGUAGAGGGGGGUAGAAUUCCAGGUGUAGCGGUGAAAUGCGUAGAGAUCUGGAGGAAUACCGGUGGCGAAGGCGGCCCCCUGGACGAAGACUGACGCUCAGGUGCGAAAGCGUGGGGAGCAAACAGG